rnacentral:lncRNA from 1 species
CUAAUCUUAUCUCCCUGAAGUUGCAAUAGAGCAUAUUAAAGCUACAAGUCGUAUCUCCCUGAAGUUGUAAUGGAGCAAAUUAAAGCUACCAAUCUUAUCUCCCUUAAAGCUCCAAGGACUCAAAUAAUGGAGAAGCACUAAAGAAGUCUAGAUUUAGCAAGACCAGACAAAAUUGGUCCUUCUUAAAGUCUUUGCUUUAUUCCCGUUACACGAUAACGAGCAAAGAGGGGCAGCUGUAAGGGCCCAAUUUCGUCUGGCCCGAACAAGAAACCAGAAAACAAAUAAACAAAAUAAAAAAAUAAAAAAUCAAAUAUAAGUCCAAGUCUAAUUACAAAAAUGACCCAAAUACAAAAAAAACCCUAAGGCCCACUAUCUAAAAAAAACUUUCAGAAACCUUAAGGUCAUCCGUGCUGCCGUCUCUGUCAGUGAGUUUGUCACCUGAGGUCUGACGCC